rnacentral:snRNA from 1 species
GUGCUCACUUCGGCAGCAUGUGUGCUAGAAUUGGAACAAUACAUGACGAUUAGCAUGGCCCUUGCGCAAGGAUGACACAAAUUCAUGAAGCGUUCCAUAUUUUU